CCAUUAACAUGAGGCUGUUGUACAAGGGGCCACCUGCUCAUCAGAAAAGCACACACCAGGGCCAGGGAUUGAACCACCAACCUUCCAAUUGACAGGUAACCACUCUACACUGAGCCACAGCCACCCUGUAUGAAAUAUGAUAUGCUUAAAAUAUACUCGAGUUUAAAAUCUUGUUUGAAAAAUAGACUUAAGUAUUGUUAUGAUUUCUUCCCAACUAAUGUUCUUAGAAACAAAGCCAUUAUACAACAAUUAACACUUCGUUUUACACCUUUCAUACACAGUGGGAAUUUAACGUGUUUGAUAUAAGGCAAAGAAAUGCAUUCAUUUACAAAAGAAUUGGAUGUAAAUUCUAGACCCAAAA